rnacentral:rRNA from 1 species
UACGGAGGGGGCUAGCGUUGUUCGGAAUUACUGGGCGUAAAGCGCGCGUAGGCGGCUUUGUAAGUUAGAGGUGAAAGCCCGGAGCUCAACUCCGGAACUGCCUUUAAGACUGCAUCGCUAGAAUUGUGGAGAGGUCAGUGGAAUUCCGAGUGUAGAGGUGAAAUUCGUAGAUAUUCGGAAGAACACCAGUGGCGAAGGCGACUGACUGGACAUGUAUUGACGCUGAGACGCGAAAGCGUGGGGAGCGAACAGG